AAAUGCGAUAAGUAAUGUGAAUUGCAGAAUUCAGUGAAUCAUCGAAUCUUUGAACGCACAUUGCGCCCGCCAGUAUUCUGGCGGGCAUGCCUGUUCGAGCGUCAUUUCAACCAUCAAGCCCCGGGCUUGUGUUGGGGACCUGCGGCUGCCGCAGGCCCUGAAAAGCAGUGGCGGGCUCGCUGUCACACCGAGCGUAGUAGCAUACAUCUCGCUCUGGGCGUGCUGCGGGUUCCGGCCGUUAAACCACCUUCAUAACCCAAGGUUGACCUCGGAUCAGGUAGGAAGACCCGCUGAACUUAAGC
rnacentral:misc_RNA from 1 species